rnacentral:ncRNA from 1 species
AUAAAUUUUGUAAUUUAAAAAAUUUAAUUUAAAUUUAUUUUACAUAUAAAUUUUAGUGUUAAUUUUUAAUUAUUUUAAUAAUUUUUUAAAAAUGAUUGGUAGUAAUUAAAAUUAUAAAUUUAAGAAAUUAAGAUUUAGUAAUAUUUAUAUUUAUUAACAAAUUUUGUGCCAGCAGUUGCGGUUAUACAAAUAAUAAUUUAAAUUUUAUUAGUAAAUAAUUAGUAUAAUAAGAAAAAAAUUAAAUAUUAAUUUAUUAGGUAAAAUUUUAAUUUAAUAAAAAUUUUAAUUAAUUAUAUGAUUUAUUAAAUUUUGAAAAAAACUAGGAUUAGAUACCCUAUUAUUAAAAAUUAAAUUAAUAAUACUAAAUUAGUAUAUAAUAAUUUAUAAAAACUUAAAUAAUUUGGCGGUAUUUUAGUUCAUUUAGAGGAAUCUGUUUAAUAAUUGAUAAUCCACGAAUAAAUUUACUUAAUUUAUAAAUUUUGUAUAUCGUUGUUAAAAAAAUAUUUUUUAAUAAAAAUAAUAUUUUAAAAUUAUAAAUAUAAUUUAGUUCAGAUCAAGAUGCAGAUUAUAAUUAAGAAUAUAAUGGAUUACAAUAUAUAAUAAAUAAAUGGAUAUUAUUAUUUAAUAAAUAUUUGAAAAUGGAUUUAAAUGUAAUUUUAUUUAAUUUAUUAAAAUGAUUAUAAAUUAAAAUAUGUACAUAUUGCCCGUCGCUUUCAUAUAUAAAUUGAAAUAAGUCGUAACAAAGUAGAAGUACUGGAAAGUGUUUCUAGAAAGAA